GAAGAAAUAGCAACUUUGAACCUCAUCAGCAGCAUAAACCUGAGUGUUGUUGUUCCUCCAGGUCAGCCAGGAGGAGACACAGAGGAUGGAUCUGCUGGGCUGACUGUUGGUCUGUCAGUUUUGGGGGUGAUUUUAGCUUCUGCAGCUCUUAUAUCUGUUUAUGUUUAUUAUAACAAAAAUCAAAAUGAAAGCUUCAUAUCUAUGUUCAAGCAUUUGAAACAAUGUAAGGGAAGGUGAGAUGUCUUUAAGCAUCAGGAAAGGCAGAUGAUGUGACACAGACAGAAAGAAAGAUGCUAAACACCAGCAGAUACACAUCAGCUGUAGAUAAUCAAACACAUCCUGAAUUUGGUGUCCAGCAUCUUUGUGAAAAAUCUCUUUAAUUAUUUGGUGAAAAAGGGAACAUAUACAUAAAAACUGUUUUUAUGUUUGCACAUUAAGGAGACAUGUUACUUUUCAUUAAACACAUUUAAGCUAUAACAGUACAGUUACAGCUGCUGUUUUUGUCUUUGUGUUUGUAGGAGGUUUAGAUUCAUGUGUGUAGCAAAUAAAAUUAGUUGGUUUCAGGAACACA